GUUCCCUCAGUGGAGGAGGCGAGCUGAUUGGGUCAGCUGGGAGCUAAGUGAGGUCACAGGGAGGGGCCCCUACCCUGUAUAAUUGUAUCUUUAUAAGGAGUGAAAGAGACACCAUCUACGGCUUCGCUCCUGGGGAGCCAGAAGCAUGGAAUCAGGUCCGCGUGGUGGAGGGUUUGGGGCAGGGGCGGGUAAAUAUGAGGAAAGGGCCAGACAGUGAAUAUUUUAGGGUUUGUGGCUGUGCAACUCUGCUGUUGUAGUGCAGAAGCAGCCGUGGGUGAUACCUGGGCAAAUGGGCCUGGCUGUGUUCCCAUGAAAAUGCAUUUACUAUAACAGAUGCCAAGAGGAUUAGGCCACCAACUUUGGCGUGUGCUCUUCGGGCCUGCCGUCUAACAGAAUGAGGGUUCCAGCGGUGUUCGCAUCAUCAGACGUCUAGUGUUCUGCACAUAAAACAAGCUCUUGAGGUCAGGAGACAACAUGCAAUCUAGCAGGCAGGUAGCUCGUGAAGCGUCUCAUCUCCCAGCAUAACAAGUGCUUCUCCAUCCAUAUGUACAGAAUUCCACUCUCCAGGUGGGAACGUUGUGAUGGAAUACGCUCUGAGAGAUAGAGGAGGCGACUUCUGCCAGGAGUGAUCAGGAGGACUUCUUGGAGGAGGCAGCACUUGAGCUGGUCUUGAAAGAUGAUGAGAUUUUAAUGGGAAAAGAGAUGAUCGAGAAGAACCUUCUAGCAGGAGGGAGCUGCCCUAGCAAAGACAGGAAGGCUGGAAAAUGCGAGAAGUGGGACAGGAAGAUCAACACAGGACCUCUCCCUUCUGAGCCAAACUGACACCUACCUCUUGCCAUGACAGGCCGCUCUUCUGGAGAUUAUAAACUAUUUAUUUUUAACAGAGAAACUGCCUUAGUUGGAGUUCUGGCUCUGCCACUUACUUAGGACCUCUAAUUACUACUGCGUUCUUAUGAGGAGUGCCUUGUGCUUUGCAGCAUCUAACGUCUUGGUAGUGACCUGCCAGUGCCUGUCCAACCUGUCAGCAGAUCACGGUCGCGAACCCUGGGAGAGAGCUGACAACACGUUUCCCGUGUGAGACUCUGUGUCUCCCGAGAAGCAGACACCAAGACAGGAUGAGAGAUGCACAGAUUUUAUUGGGAAAAACACCUGCAGGAGAAAACGGUCAUCAGAGCCUGAACAAGUCCUCCCGCAAUGACCUACCAGGUGGUGCCAGGCCUGUAGCAGGUACCCUGGAUCGGAUCGGCUGCUCUGCUCCACGAGGCUCCCAGCACCAUCUCAGCAGGUCGGCGCUGCCUCAGGUCUGAAAUGAUGUCUUCUCUUUCCUGUUUUCUGAGCAGCUCAUUCUGCUGCCCGUCAAAUAGGCCCUUUCCCCAGGACCCUUGGGGUCCAGCUGAGUGGAGCAGCCUCCCACACUGGAAGCCUUGAGUUUUCCCCACCUGGGCCUUUCUCUCUGUCCCUGACAUCCGGUUGGUCACCAGAUCCUGGCAGUUGAAAGUCAUUCUCAAGUCCAGCCCCACCACUGCACCUCGGUCCAUGCUCCUGGACACCAGUCUCUCACCGAGCGCUAUGCGUGGCUUGCGUCUGCGGCUGAGAAAUCCUUUCAAACGCACGCCUUCCCUAUUAUAUCCAGCAUAGGAUCUGACCCGGCAGGACCUCAGUAAAGACUUGUGGCUGCUUUAAGAGUGGGCACCUGCCGUCACAUUUUCCUCAGCAUUUUCCCUAUGCUGCUGGCGCAUUGGGUAGCUCUACUCAACCCAUGACGGAUUGCAGAUCUUUUGGCCGCUGCAUUCACAAAUUUGUCCCGAGCCGCUCCAUGGAAGGCAUCCCAGAAGCCUAUCAAUCUUCCCAUGAGUGUUCAAGAUUCCCAAAUCCCCAAAAGGCCCUAAUACCAUCUCUGUGUGAGCAGCUGCCCAUGUGUUGGGGAGUGCCCUGCCUGAGGCAGAGGGCGCACUGCAUCUGUUUGGAGGUGGGUGAGCCUCACGUGUUCUGCACAGGGCAUGAGGUAGGCAUUGGAGAGCAGCCCUGGCCCCCCCACCCAGGGGACAGUAGGUGGGGUUCUAAAUUAUGAGUCAUUAAUCAGCUCUUCAUAUGUCUGAAUUAUUCAUAAAGUAAGUGCUUGUGGUUUGGAUGCUAGUCUAUGAAUAUAUAGGCAAAUUAUUUAUUAUGGCAUUUACAUGGAUUUUGCAAAAAAGUUUUCCAGAAACCCUUUAGGUUCAGUGGUUGAAUUUAACAAAUAUUUCCUGUGCACCUACUCUAUGACAGAAAUUGUGAUUGGCGUUAAAGACAUAAAGAUGAAUAGGAUAAUAAGCACCUGCCUUCAGUGUGCUCUGGGUUAGCAGGGAGAACACACAAUCCAGCUGGUCCACAGAGGCUGACUUAUUAACAACAUUUAUCACAGCAUGUGGGAAAUAUGAGCUAACUGUAUUUCAGAUAGUAACAUGACCACGCCAAAACCAAACCAAAUCAAAACAAGGCAAGAAACCAAACCAACAAACCAACCCCACCACCACAACAGAAACUAACCCAAGUAACAUUGAACACGGAACCUUGACCUAUAACCCUUGUCCUGCAGACAAAAUACCUGCAAACAAAUAUUGAACUUGACUUGUGGGUUUGCUUUCACUGUGGUGCAAGGUAGCAAUUCUGUAAUGAUUUUCUGUCUUGUAGGGUUGAGCAAAUACAAGAUUCCACCAGUGCUGUUGGAAGCCAGCGUUCUUGUUUUUGGAAAGGGGACAUUUUCUUUCUUUCUCUUAUUUUUUUCCCUCCCUCCCUCCCUCCCUCCCUCCCUCCCUCCCUUCCUUCCUUUCCGUCAAAGCACUUACAAUCUUCUCACAUACUAUACAAUUUACUUAUUUAUUGUGUUCCCCAUUUGGUGUCUGUCUUCCCCCCGGGGGCAGGGCUCUUUGCUGCUUCAUCCAAUAUGUGUUCACGAUCUGAGUGCCUGCAAUAGUAGGCAUGUGCUUAUCUAGUGAAUGAUGGGCAAUGGUGGUGGAGAUGCAGAUUAGGACCAGGUCAUGGGGAGUACUGGAUUACGAAAGUGAACACAUUUGGAUUUCAGCCUGUUGGAAAAUGAGAUGAUGCUGGAAGUGGUGAAGGGGCUGCAACAUGAUGAGAG
rnacentral:lncRNA from 10 species